GGAUGUCCAGCUAAAUUUGAAUUUCAGAAAAACCAUGAAAAAUUGCUAGUAUAAAUAUAUCUUGUGUAAUAUUUGGGACAUACUUGUACUAAAAAAUUAUUCAUGGUUUAUCUGAAAUUAAAAUUAA
rnacentral:miRNA from 1 species